GUGCCCGUAGCUCAGUUGGAUAGAGUGUCGGACUCCGACUCCGAAGGUCGCUGGUUCGAAUCCAGUCGGGCAUACCA
rnacentral:tRNA from 1 species